GAUGAACGCUGGCGGGGUGCCUAAUACAUGCAAGUCGAGCGAACAGACGAGGAGCUUGCUCCUCUGACGUUAGCGGCGGACGGGUGAGUAACACGUGGAUAACCUACCUAUAAGACUGGGAUAACUUCGGGAAACCGGAGCUAAUACCGGAUAAUAUAUUGAACCGCAUGGUUCAAUAGUGAAAGACGGUUUUGCUGUCACUUAUAGAUGGAUCCGCGCCGCAUUAGCUAGUUGGUAAGGUAACGGCUUACCAAGGCGACGAUGCGUAGCCGACCUGAGAGGGUGAUCGGCCACACUGGAACUGAGACACGGUCCAGACUCCUACGGGAGGCAGCAGUAGGGAAUCUUCCGCAAUGGGCGAAAGCCUGACGGAGCAACGCCGCGUGAGUGAUGAAGGUCUUCGGAUCGUAAAACUCUGUUAUUAGGGAAGAACAAAUGUGUAAGUAACUAUGCACGUCUUGACGGUACCUAAUCAGAAAGCCACGGCUAACUACGUG
rnacentral:rRNA from 1 species